rnacentral:rRNA from 1 species
CAGCCGCCGCGGGAAUACGAAGGGGGCUAGCGUUGCUCGGAAUGACUGGGCGUAAAGGGCGCGUAGGCGGAUGGCACAGUCAGAUGUGAAAUUCCCGGGCUUAACCUGGGGGCUGCAUUUGAUACGUGUUGUCUAGAGUGAGGAAGAGGGUUGUGGAAUUCCCAGUGUAGAGGUGAAAUUCGUAGAUAUUGGGAAGAACACCGGUGGCGAAGGCGGCAACCUGGUCCUUGACUGACGCUGAGGCGCGAAAGCGUGGGGAGCAAACAGGAUUAGAGACCCCUGUAGUCCCUGUCUCUUAUAC